UAGGGAAUAUUGCGCAAUGGGCGAAAGCCUGACGCAGCAACUCCACGUGUGGGAUGAAGCAUUUCGGUGUGUAAACCACUGUCGGAUGGGAACAAAAGGCCUUCGGGCGAUUGAGUGUACCAUCAAAGGAAGCACCGGCAAACUUCGUGCCAGCAGCCGCGGUAACACGAGGGGUGCGAGCGUUGUUCGGAAUCACUGGGCGUAAAGGGCGCGUAGGCGGGAGAGUAAGUCUGGAGUCUAAUUCCGGGGCCCAACCCCGGAGCCGCUCUGGAUACUGCUCUUCUUGAGUAGGUCAGGGGCUGAUGGAAUACCUGGUGUAGCGGUGGAAUGCGUAGAUAUCAGGUAGAACACCAGUGGCGAAGGCGAUCAGCUGGGGCCAUACUGACGCUGAGGCGCGAAA
rnacentral:rRNA from 1 species